rnacentral:rRNA from 1 species
CAGUCGCCACGGGAAUACAGAGGGUGCAAGCGUUAAUCGGAGUUACUGGGCGUAAAGGGCGCGUAGGCGGUUAUAUAAGUGAGAUGUGAAAUCCCUGGGCUUAACCUAGGAACUGCAUCUUAUACUGUAUGGCUAGAGUAUUGUAGAGGGUAGUGGAAUUUCCGGUGUAGCGGUGAAAUGCGUAGAGAUCGGAAGGAACACCAGUGGCGAAGGCGGCUACCUGGACAAAUACUGACGCUGAGGCGCGAAAGCGUGGGGAGCAAACAGGAUUAGAGACCCCAGUAGUCCCUGUCUCUUAUAC